rnacentral:rRNA from 1 species
UACGUAGGGUGCGAGCGUUGUCCGGAAUUAUUGGGCGUAAAGGGCUCGUAGGCGGUUUGUCGCGUCGGGAGUGAAAACCCAGGGCUUAACCCUGGGCUGGCUUCCGAUACGGGCAGACUAGAGGUAUGCAGGGGAGAACGGAAUUCCUGGUGUAGCAGUGAAAUGCGCAGAUAUCAGGAGGAACACCGGUGGCGAAGGCGGUUCUCUGGGCAUUACCUGACGCUGAGGAGCGAAAGUGUGGGGAGCGAACAGG